rnacentral:rRNA from 1 species
GACGUAGGGCGCGAGCGUUGUCCGGAUUUAUUGGGCGUAAAGAGCUCGUAGGCGGCUUGUCGCGUCGUUCGUGAAAACUUGGGGCUCAACCCCAAGCUUGCGGUCGAUACGGGCAGGCUAGAGUUCGGUAGGGGAGACUGGAAUUCCUGGUGUAGCGGUGAAAUGCGCAGAUAUCAGGAGGAACACCGGUGGCGAAGGCGGGUCUCUGGGCAGUAACUGACGCUGAGGAGCGAAAGCGUGGGGAGCGAACAGG